rnacentral:sRNA from 1 species
UGCAAGGCUAGGAAGUCAUGAGCCGAAAGCGGGGAAUUUCAUGCCUUAACCCCGCCCGCCUUGCACCCUUUUACAUUGG